rnacentral:tRNA from 1 species
GAGGGUUUAGCUCAGUGGUAGAGUGCCUGCUUAGCAUGCAUGAAGUUGUGGGUUCCAUCCCCAGUACCUCCA